rnacentral:rRNA from 1 species
UACGUAGGGGGCUAGCGUUGUCCGGAAUCAUUGGGCGUAAAGCGUGCGUAGGCGGCCCGAUAAGUCUGCUGUGAAAGUCCAGGGCUCAACCCUGGAAUGCCGGUGGAUACUGCUGGGCUAGAGUCCGGAAGAGGCGAGUGGAAUUCCUGGUGUAGCGGUGAAAUGCGCAGAUAUCAGGAGGAACACCGAUGGCGAAGGCAGCUCGCUGGGACGGUACUGACGCUGAGGCGCGAAAGCGUGGGGAGCAAGCAGG